GCCCGGUUAGCUCAGUUGGUAGAGCAUCAGACUUUUAAUCUGAGGGUCAAGGGUUCGAGUCCCUUAUCGGGCG
rnacentral:tRNA from 1 species